rnacentral:rRNA from 1 species
AGCGAACGCUGGCGGCAGGCCUAACACAUGCAAGUCGAACGGAUCCCUCGGGAUUAGUGGCGGACGGGUGAGUAACACGUGGGAACGUGCCCUUUGGUUCGGAACAACUCAGGGAAACUUGAGCUAAUACCGGACGUGCCCUUCGGGGGAAAGAUUUAUCGCCAUUGGAGCGGCCCGCGUCUGAUUAGCUAGUUGGUGAGGUAAAGGCUCACCAAGGCGACGAUCAGUAGCUGGUCUGAGAGGAUGAUCAGCGACAUUGGGACUGAGACACGGCCCAAACUCCUACGGGAGGCAGCAGUGGGGAAUCUUGCGCAAUGGGCGAAAGCCUGACGCAGCCAUGCCGCGUGAAUGAUGAAGGUCUUAGGAUUGUAAAAUUCUUUCACCGGGGACGAUAAUGACGGUACCCGGAGAAGAAGCCCCGGCUAACUUCGUGCCAGCAGCCGCCGUAA